rnacentral:antisense_RNA from 1 species
CUUCAGCGAGCCGAGCCACAGCGGCUGGUCGGCCGAGUGCUCCUGCCCGUACGUCGCGAGCAGCGCCUGCGCCUC